CCUACGGGAGGCAGCAGUGGGGAAUAUUGGGCAAUGGGCGCAAGCCUGACCCAGCAACGCCGCGUGAAGGAAGAAGGCUUUCGGGUUGUAAACUUCUUUUAAGAGGGAAGAGCAGAAGACGGUACCUCUUGAAUAAGCCACGGCUAACUACGUGCCAGCAGCCGCGGUAAUACGUAGGUGGCAAGCGUUGUCCGGAUUUACUGGGUGUAAAGGGCGUGCAGCCGGGAAGACAAGUCAGAUGUGAAAGCCCGCGGCUCAACCGCGGAACUGCCUUUGAAACUGUUUUUCUUGAGUACCGGAGAGGUCAUCGGAAUUCCUUGUGUAGCGGUGAAAUGCGUAGAUAUAAGGAAGAACACCAGUGGCGAAGGCGGAUGACUGGACGGCAACUGACGGUGAGGCGCGAAAGCGUGGGGAGCAAACAGGAUUAGAUACCCCUGUAGUC
rnacentral:rRNA from 1 species